UCAAGUUAUUAAGGGUGCAGGGCGGAUGCCUUGGCACUAGGAGCCGAUGAAGGACGUGAUAAGCUGCGAUAAGCUUCGGGGAGUUGCACGUAAACUUUGAUCCGAAGAUUUCCGAAUGAGGAAACUCACUUAGAGUAAUGUCUAAGUAUCAUUAAGUGAAUACAUAGCUUAAUGAGGGGAACUCAGGGAACUGAAACAUCUAAGUACCUGAAGGAAGAGAAAGAAAUUCGAUUCCGUAAGUAGCGGCGAGCGAACGCGGAUUAGCCCAAACCAAUAAAGUUUUCUUUAUUGGGGUUGCGGACAUAUCAUAACGAAGAGGUAUCGUAAUUGAAGAGGUUUGGAAAGACCCACCACAGAAGGUAAUAGUCCUGUAUGUUAAACGAGAAGACUUCAGAUAUGAUCCAGAGUACCACGGGACACGUGAAACCCUGUGGGAAGCAGGAGGGACCACCCUCCAAGGCUAAAUACUACCUAGUGACCGAUAGCGUAUAGUACCGUGAGGGAAAGGUGAAAAGAACCCCGGGAGGGGAGUGAAAUAGAACCUGAAACCCUGCACUUACAAGCUGUGGAAGCACAUUUCUUGUGUGACCGCGUACUUUUUGUAGAACGGGCCAACGAGUUACGUUAAGUAGCAAGGUUAAGCACUUAAGGUGUGGAGCCGUAGCGAAAGCGAGUUUUAACUGAGCGUUCAGUUACUUGACGUAGACCCGAAACCGGGCGACCUACCCAUGAGCAGGAUGAAGCGAAAGUAAAAUUUCGUGGAGGUCCGAACCCACGAGCGUUGAAAAGCUCGGGGAUGACUUGUGGGUAGCGGUGAAAUUCCAAUCGAGCCCGGAGAUAGCUGGUUCUCCCCGAAAUAGCUUUAGGGCUAGCCUCAAGGUGAGAGAUACGGAGGUAGAGCACUGAAUGUCCUAGGGGGUAUUGCACCUACCGAAGACUAUCAAACUCCGAAUGCCGUCAUCUUAUACUUGGGAGUCAGACUGUGGGUGAUAAGAUUCAUAGUCGAAAGGGCAACAGCCCAGAUCGUCAGCUAAGGUCCCUAAAUGUAAGUUAAGUGGUAAAGGAUGUGGGAUUGCAAAGACAACCAGGAUGUUGGCUUAGAAGCAGCCACUCAUUCAAAGAGUGCGUAAUAGCUCACUGGUCGAGUGAUCCUGCGCCGAAGAUUUCCGGGGCUAAAACUUACUACCGAAGCUACGGCAUCAGUAAUGAUGGGUAGGGGAGCUUCCCAUACGGGUUGAAGCAUGACCGUAAGGACAUGUGGACAGUAUGGGAGUGAGAAUGUUGGCAUGAGUAGCGAGAUGUGGGUGAGAAUCCCACAGGCCGUAAACCCAAGGUUUCCAGGGGAAGGUUCGUCCGCCCUGGGUUAGUCGGGACCUAAGCUGAGGCCGAAAGGCGUAGGUGAUGGACAACAGGUUGAUAUUCCUGUACUACCGAUAACCGUUUGAGAGAAGGGAUGACACAGUAGGAUAAGCUAAGCACACUGUUGGUUAUGUGUGCCCAAGCAUUGAGGCAGUCAAAGUAGGCAAAUCCGCUUUGAUAAUGCUGGGAUGUGAUGGGGAGCGAAAUUUAGUAGCGAAGUAGCUGAUUUCACACUGUCAAGAAAAGUCUCUAUCGAGGUUAAAGGUACCCGUACCGCAAACCGACACAGGUGGGUGAGGAGAGUAUCCUAAGGCCAGCGAGAGAACUGUUGUUAAGGAACUCGGCAAAAUGACCCCGUAACUUAGGGAUAAGGGGUGCCACCAUCAGGUGGCCGCAGAGAAUAGGCCCAAGCGACUGUUUACCAAAAACAUAGGUUUCUGCUAAGUCGCAAGACGAUGUAUAGGAGCUGACGCCUGCCCGGUGCUGGAAGGUUAAGGGGAUCUGUUAGAGCAAUCGAAGCAGUGAACUUAAGCCCCAGUAAACGGCGGCCGUAACUAUAACGGUCCUAAGGUAGCGAAAUUCCUUGUCGGGUAAGUUCCGACCCGCACGAAAGGCGUAACGAUUUGGGCACUGUCUCAACAACAGACUCGGUGAAAUUGUAAUUCCGGUGAAGAUGCCGGAUACCUGCGACAGGACGGAAAGACCCCAUGGAGCUUUACUGUAGCUUGACAUUGGGUNUUGGUACUACAUGUACAGGAUAGGUGGGAGGCUUUGAAACCAGGACGCCAGUUUUGGCGGAGCCAUCCUUGGGAUACCACCCUUGUAGUACUGGGACUCUAACCAUAGGCCAUGAAUCUGGUCUUGGGACACUGUCAGGUGGGCAGUUUGACUGGGGCGGUCGCCUCCCAAAAGGUAACGGAGGCGCUCAAAGGUUCUCUCAGUACGGUCGGAAAUCGUACGUAGAGUGUAAAGGCAAAAGAGAGCUUGAUUGCAAGACAUACAGGUCGAGCAAGGAUGAAAAUCGGACUUAGUGAUCCGGUGGUUCUGCGUGGAAGGGCCAUCGCUCAACGGAUAAAAGCUACCCUGGGGAUAACAGGCUUAUCUCCCCCAAGAGUCCACAUCGACGGGGAGGUUUGGCACCUCGAUGUCGGCUCAUCACAUCCUGGGGCUGUAGUAGGUCCCAAGGGUUGGGCUGUUCGCCCAUUAAAGUGGUACGCGAGCUGGGUUCAGAACGUCGUGAGACAGUUCGGUCCCUAUCCGUCGCAGGCGUAGGAAAUUUGAGAAGACCUGUCCUUAGUACGAGAGGACCGGGAUGGACGUACCUCUGGUGUACCAGUUGUUCUGCCAAGGGCAUGGCUGGGUAGCUAUGUACGGAAUGGAUAAGCGCUGAAAGCAUCUAAGCGCGAAGCCAACUUCAAGAUAAGAUUUCCCACCGCAAGGGUAAGACCCCAGAAAGACUAUCUGGUUGAUAGGUCGAAGGUGUAAGUGCAGCAAUGUAUUUAGCUUAUCGAUACUAAUAGGUCGAGGACUUGACCAA
rnacentral:rRNA from 1 species